UCGAGAAUUUUUCUCAAUGGGCGAAAGCCUGAAGGAGCGACGCCGCGUGGGGGAUGAAUGGCUUCGGCCCGUAAACCCCUGUCAUUUGUGAACAAAUUGCUUCACCUAACACGUGAAGCAUUGAUAGUAACGGAAGAGGAAGGGACGGCUAACUCUGUGCCAGCAGCCGCGGUAAUACAGAGGUCCCAAGCGUUGUUCGGAUUCACUGGGCGUAAAGGGUGCGUAGGCGGUUGGAUAAGUCUGACGUGAAAUCUCCGGGCCUAACCCGGAAACUGCGUUGGAAACUAUUUGACUAGAGGAUUGGAAGGGAGACUGGAAUACUUGGUGUAGCAGUGAAAUGCGUAGAUAUCAAGUGGAACACCAGUGGCGAAGGCGAGUCUCUGGACAAUUCCUGACGCUGAGGCACGAAAGCCAGGGGAGCAAACGGGAUUAGAUACCCCCGUAGUCC
rnacentral:rRNA from 1 species